CAGUUAUGGUUCCUUUGAUCGCUCUACCGUUACUUGGAUAACUGUGGCAAUUCUAGAGCUAAUACAUGCCAACGAGCGCUGACCCCUCCGGGGAUGCGUGCAUUUAUCAGCCCCAAAACCCAUGCGGGGACGCCUCCACCCGGGGGCCCCCCGGCCGCUUUGGUGACUCUAGAUAACCUCGAGCCGAUCGCUGGCCCCCCGUGGCGGCGACGUCUCAUUCGAAUGUCUGCCCUAUCAACUUUCGAUG
rnacentral:rRNA from 1 species